GAAGUUGAAUUGGGCCUGAUGACCUACCAGUAAGAUUGGGCUCUGAAACUAACCAUUUUUCCAUUGUCUUUCAAUCAACAGAACAAAAACCAUCAUAAAAUUGCGAUCCACGGAGACUAUUUCGUUUACCUUCACCUCCGAUUAGGGAAGUAGAGGAUUGUCGACACAGAGACCUGUUACUGGAAUAUUUGCUUUUACUGGUUACAGGAUGUCUUCUGCACAAGAUCCAUUUUAUAUUGUGAAAGAGGAGAUUCAAGAAUCUAUUGAUAAGUUGCAAUCUACUUUUCGCCAAUGGGAACGAAUUCCUCCUGAUACUGGAGACCAGGUGCAUCUCACGAAGGAGCUGGUUGCUGGUUGUGAGAGCAUUGAGUGGCAGGU